CUUGAAACUUGCGCAAACUUACACCGUUUUAAGGUUCAACCUUUUUCAAUCAAAAAUGGCGGGGGUCCCGUUAAUUUUUUCCAGGAACGCAGAAAUUUAGAAGUGCAAAUUUAGAGGGAUCGGAGAUCAGGAGAAUUGAAAUAUACAUACAUAGAAGACAUAAAAUAGACCUUCCUAUGUCCCCAAGCUCGUUUUCUACGUACUUAUAUGUACGUCCCGACAGCGUGGAACGCGAAAUAAGAAUCAGUCACGAAUACACGAUUUCGACCAUAAGCUGUAUAGAACGAGGAAAGAAUUAUGGAAAGGGAGAAGAAGAAAUGGAGUAGAGAAAGAAAGAAGGAAGAUAAUAAAAAAUGUGUGCUACAGCGGGUGAAAACACGACAGACAAAAAAAAAAAAAAUUUAAGAGAGAAAUAACGUAAACGUAAUUUAAAGGUCCUCACGAGUCAUUUACGGAAAUUCGUUAGUUUUUCUUUUCCUUGUUUGUCCUAUUUUCAUUUCAUUAUGGUAUAGAUACUCGUGCUUGUAGUAAGGAAAUCAAUCAGCGAAUGGAUAAUCGAUACGCAAGAAAGGCGUCGAAUUGUGGUGAAAUUUGCACGAGAUGUACGACAAAAGCUCGGUUCGACCGAACGAAGAUAGUGCAGCAAAACACUGUCCCUCACGAUCGCCAAUUACUCACCACCAUCGGGUUCCACCCUGUAUACCGAGGGAUUAUACCGCCGAUAUUGAGGAUUUGCAAACCCCCGAAACGACGCCCGAGGUCCAGCUUAUUACACGCCACUGGCCUCGUUCUCUCUGUAGAGACGAGCUCGCCAAUCCUCUUGUGUAAUUCAAGAACUUGGUGAAAAAACGAACCGAACACAGGGUGAAUUGGACUCACCGGGGCCGAUAUUCUCGAAUCGAAAUCCGGGAUAAACAACCGUCCGAACAAAACGCUCCGCUGGCUUAUCGUUAGUCGAUGCAUU